rnacentral:lncRNA from 1 species
UAUACGGAUGCCCUUCGACUGCUUGUCGAAGUCCUUUUUGCCCCAGCCGGUAGGUCUCUAGAUGUUACAGAGAACCCCGAACAACCCAAUCUGCUAAUCUCCGAUACCGCUUUGUACUUACGAUCUUGUAUCCACUGACUGUCUUGUUAGAUUAACCCAAUAAAUUUCAUUCACUCCGCAUACUCAAUCCUAUAGAUACCUUUUUAAUCCUUCAAUCACAAACGUAACUCGAUUUCACAAAACAGUCAAGAGUAAUCAAACCCACUUCA